rnacentral:rRNA from 1 species
AUUGAACGCUGGCGGCAGGCCUAACACAUGCAAGUCGAGCGGUAGAGAGGUGCUUGCAUCUCUUGAGAGCGGCGGACGGGUGAGUAAUGCCUAGGAAUCUGCCUGGUGGUGGGGGAUAACGUUCGGAAACGGACGCUAAUACCGCAUACGUCCUACGGGAGAAAGCGGGGGAUCUUCGGACCUCGCGCCAUUAGAUGAGCCUAGGUCGGAUUAGCUAGUUGGUGAGGUAAUGGCUCACCAAGGCGACGAUCCGUAACUGGUCUGAGAGGAUGAUCAGUCACACUGGAACUGAGACACGGUCCAGACUCCUACGGGAGGCAGCAGUGGGGAAUAUUGGACAAUGGGCGAAAGCCUGAUCCAGCCAUGCCGCGUGUGUGAAGAAGGUCUUCGGAUUGUAAAGCACUUUAAG